rnacentral:rRNA from 1 species
UGGGAAUCUUCCGCAAUGGACGAAAGUCUGACGGAGCAACGCCGCGUGAGUGAAGAAGGUUUUCGGAUCGUAAAACUCUGUCUUUUGGGGCGAACGUGAGUAUGGUGAACAAUCAUAGUCAGUGACGGUACCAAAGGAGGAAGCCACGGCUAACUACGUGCCAGCAGCCGCGGUAAUACGUAGGUGGCAAGCGUUGUCCGGAAUUAUUGGGCGUAAAGAGCGCGUAGGCGGGAUAGUCAGUCUGUUGUAAAAGUGCGGGGCUCAACCCCGUGAUGGCAAUGGAAACAGCUAUUCUUGAGUGCAGGAGAGGAAAGUGGAUCCAGUGUAGCGGUGAAAUGCGUAGAUAUUGGGAGGAACACCAGUGGCGAAGGCGACUUUCUGGACUGUGUCUGACGCUGAGGCGCGAAAGCCAGGGGGGCGGACGGGAUUAGAUACCCCGGUAGUCCUGGCCGUAAACCGAUGGGUACUAGGUGUGGGGGGUAUCGAGCCCCUUCCGUGCCGGAGUUAACGCAAUAAGUACCCCGCCUGGGGAGUACGUCGCAAGACUGAAAACUCAAAUGAAUUCGACGGGGUCAUAGCUGUUUCCUG